rnacentral:rRNA from 1 species
CCUACGGGAGGCAGCAGUGGGGAAUAUUGGACAAUGGGGGGAACCCUGAUCCAGCCAUGCCGCGUGUGUGAAGAAGGCCCUCGGGUUGUAAAGCACUUUCAGUGAGGAAGAACGCCUGGUGGUUAAUACCCAUCAGGAAAGACAUCACUCACAGAAGAAGCACCGGCUAACUCCGUGCCAGCAGCCGCGGUAAUACGGAGGGUGCGAGCGUUAAUCGGAAUUACUGGGCGUAAAGCGCGCGUAGGUGGCUUGAUCAGCCGGUUGUGAAAGCCCCGGGCUCAACCUGGGAACGGCAUCCGGAACUGUCAAGCUAGAGUGCAGGAGAGGAAGGUAGAAUUCCCGGUGUAGCGGUGAAAUGCGUAGAGAUCGGGAGGAAUACCAGUGGCGAAGGCGGCCUUCUGGACUGACACUGACACUGAGGUGCGAAAGCGUGGGUAGCAAACAGGAUUAGAUACCCGAGUAGUC